rnacentral:rRNA from 1 species
GAUGAACGCUAGCGGCAGGCCUAAUACAUGCAAGUCGAACGGUAACAGGUGUAGCAAUACAUGCUGACGAGUGGCAGACGGGUGAGGAACACGUACACAACUUCCCUCUUACCGGGGCACAACUCAGAGAAAUCUGGGCUAAUUCCCGUAAUAUCACGAUGUGGCAUCACAUUGAGAUUAAAACUCCGGUGGUAAGCGAUGGGUGUGCGUCUGAUUAGCAGUUGGUGAGGUAACGGCUCACCAAGGCAACGAUCAGUAACUGGUGUGAGAGCACGACCAGUCACACGGGCACUGAGAUACGGGCCCGACUCCUACGGGAGGCAGCAGUAAGGAAUAUUGGUCAAUGGAGGCAACUCUGAACCAGCCAUGCCGC